rnacentral:rRNA from 1 species
GAUGAACGCUGGCGGCGUGCUUAACACAUGCAAGUCGAACGAUGAAGCCCAGUUUGCUGGGUGGAUUAGUGGCGAACGGGUGAGUAACACGUGAGUAACCUGCCCUUGACUCUGGGAUAAGCGCUGGAAACGGCGUCUAAUACCGGAUACGAGCUUCCACCGCAUGGUGAGUUGCUGGAAAGAAUUUCGGUCAAGGAUGGACUCGCGGCCUAGCAGGUAGUUGGUGAGGUAACGGCUCACCAAGCCGACGACGGGUAGCCGGCCUGAGAGGGUGACCGGCCACACGGGGACUGAGACACGGCCCAGACUCAUACGGGAGGCAGGAGUGGGGAAUAGUGCACAAAGGGCGCAAGCCUGAUGCAGCAACGCCGCGUGAGGGAAGAAGGCCUUCGGGUCGUAAACCUCUUUUAGCAGGGAAGAAGCGAAAGUGACGGUACCUGCAGAAAAAGCACCGGCUAAUUACGU